rnacentral:rRNA from 1 species
AUUGAACGCUGGCGGAAUGCUUUACACAUGCAAGUCGAACGGCAGCACGGACUUCGGUCUGGUGGCGAGUGGCGAACGGGUGAGUAAUAUAUCGGAACGUGCCCAGUCGUGGGGGAUAACGUAGCGAAAGCUACGCUAAUACCGCAUACGCUCUACGGAUGAAAGCGGCGGAUCGCAAGACCUCGCGCGAUUGGAGCGGCCGAGAUCAGAUUAGGUAGUUGGUGAGGUAAAGGCUCACCAAGCCGACGAUCUGUAGCUGGUCUGAGAGGACGACCAGCCACACUGGGACUGAGACACGGCCCAGACUCCUACGGGAGGCAGCAGUGGGGAAUUUUGGACAAUGGACGCAAGUCUGAUCCAGCCAUUCCGCGUGCAGGACGAAGGCCUUCGGGUUGUAAACUGCUUUUGUACAGAACGAAAAGGUCUCUAUUAAUACUAGGGGCUCAUGACGGUACUGUAAGAAUAAGCACCGGCUAACUACGUGCCAGCAGCCGCCGUAA